GGCGCUAUUCGCACAUAAACCCAAAUGUUUCCACUCACAACUUCGAAGCCAGGUCUGACACCCGAAUCUGGGUCCCAGAAUCCCACGGUGCCUGCACCAAUAUCACCCCCUCUGCUGGACGGCGGCGCACUGUCGAGAUCUGAGAGGUCUGUCGCCUGCAGCCGGGGAACCGCGUCCCCAGUCGCCUUCCUCAAACCACUUCUCUCUUUCCCCUCCAAAUAUUCAAGGCGUUCGGCCUAUUUAAACCUCCACCUGGUACCCUGGAGCUGAUGUUUGUUUCCUGAAUGUUAGAACCGAAAGAGAAGCGGAGUUGGGAUUUAUGUUGCGAAAUAUUCAACAUAAAGCCAAAGGACGAAAAGGAAAAGAAGACCUCUAGGAUUUCUUCUCUAAGGUCACCCAUGUGGGAACUGAGUAGAAGAAACGAAGUUAAUCAUUAAAAGUAUUCAGGAGAGAAAACAAAUGCUUCCCUGACCGGGAAUCGAACCCGGGCCGCGGCGGUGAGAGCGCCGAAUCCUAACCACUAGACCACCAGGGACGAUAGCAAGUCUUCGCGGAUACGAAUAUAUGAGGCUAAGUCAGUGUGUGUCUCUGCUUACUCAUUCUGUGACGUGUGUUCUUUCAGCUAGCUAGAUUUUGAGAUUCGUGACUACUGGGCUCUCACCCCGCCGAAACUACU